AUAUCGCUUAAUCCAUUGGAACGGGGGACCCAAUUUUUGUGUAGGAAUGCUACACUUGGGGUGAAUCCUUUUAAAAGGUAGGGCUACUCUUUAGUCCGAAUCCGACAGCUAACUCCGUAAGCGUUCAAAGAGGA
rnacentral:sRNA from 1 species